AGCUCCGGCUAACUACGUGCCAGCAGCCGCGGUAAUACGUAGGGAGCGAGCGUUAUCCGGAUUUAUUGGGUGUAAAGGGUGCGUAGACGGAAAUGCAAGUUAGUUGUGAAAUACCUCGGCUUAACUGAGGAACUGCAACUAAAACUAUAUUUCUUGAGUAUCGGAGGGGUUUGUGGAAUUCCUAGUGUAGCGGUGAAAUGCGUAGAUAUUAGGAAGAACACCGGUGGCGAAGGCGACAAACUGGACGAUAACUGACGUUGAGGCACGAAAGUGUGGGGAGCAAACAGGAUUAGAUACCCUGGUAGUCCACACCGUAAACGAUGGAUACUAGGUGUUGGCAAUGAAUAAUUGUCGGUGCCGGCGCUAACGCAAUAAGUAUCCCACCUGGGGAGUACGACCGCAAGGUUGAAACUCAAAGGAAUUGACGGGGGCCCGCACAAGCAGUGGAGUAUGUGGUUUAAUUCGAAGCAACGCGAAGAACCUUACCAGGGCUUGACAUAUACAGGAAUAUAUAAGAGAUUAUAUAGCUCUACGGAGUCUGUAUACAGGUGGUGCAUGGUUGUCGUCAGCUCGUGUCGUGAGAUGUUGGGUUAAGUCCCGUAACGAGCGCAACCCCUAUGGCUAGUUGCUAACAUUAAGUUGAGGACUCUAGCAAGACUGCCGUUGUUAAAACGGAGGAAGGUGGGGACGACGUCAAAUCAUCAUGCCCUUUAUGUCCUGGGCUACACACGUACUACAAUGGGUAAGACAGAGGGAAGCGAAAGUGCGAACUGGAGCAAAACCCUAAACUUAUUCUCAGUUCGGAUUGGAGUCUGAAAUUCGGCUCCAUGAAGCUGGAAUUGCUAGUAAUGGCAGGUCAGCAUACUGCCGUGAAUACGUUCCCGGGCCUUGUACACACCGCCCGUCACACCAUGAGAGUUAGAAAUACCCGAAGCCUGUGAGCUAACAGUUUAAUAUUGAGGCAGCAGUCGAAGGCAGAGCUAAUGAUUGGGGUGAAGUCGUAACAAGGUAGCCGUAGGAGAACCUGCGGCUG
rnacentral:rRNA from 1 species